AUGGCCGUACCAUCCUGAAUGCACCUGAUUGUUGUCUGAUCUCAGAAGCUAAGCAGGGUUGGGCCUGGUUAGUGCUUGGAUGGGAGGAAAUGUCUUUGUGCUCCUAGGUGCUCAUC
rnacentral:rRNA from 1 species